AUGUACAGAGGAUGGCUUCUUGACCUUCGGUACAUCAAGAAGUCUGCAGAGGAACUAGAUGAGGAAGUAGAAUAUGACAUAGAUGAGGAGGACUACAUCUGGCUGGAUAUCAUAAAUGAGCAUCGGAAGACAGAGGGUCUGAGUCCCAUCCCUCAGGAGAUCUUUGAGUAUCUAAUGGACCAGCUAGAAAAGGAGUCCUACUUUGAAAGUCACAAUAAAGGCGACCCCAAUGCACUAGUGGAUGAGGAUGCUGUUUGCUGUAUCUGCAAUGAUGGUGUGUGCCAGAACAGCAAUGUCGUCCUCUUCUGUGGCAUGCGCAACCUGGCCAUGCACCAGGAGUGCUAUGGUGUCCCCUAUAUCCCUGAGGGCCAGUGGCUGUGCCCUGUGCCCCAACAAGGGAGGUGCCUUCAAGCAGACAGAUGACGGGCACUGGGCCCAUGUGGUAUCUGCCUUGUGGAUCCCUGAGGUCUGCUUUGCCAACACAGUCUUCCUAGAGCCUAUUGACAGCAUGGAGCACAUCCCACCAGCUCACUGGAAGCUCACCUGCUACAUUUGCAAACAGCAGGGUUCAGGGGCCUACAUCCAAUGCCACAAAGCCAGCUGCUACAAUGGCCACUUAGCAUGCUGGCCAUUACAUGAAGAUGGAGCCUGUGCGAGAGACAGAUGCCAAUGGCACCUCCUUCAGUGUCCAAAAGACAGCAUACUGCAACAUCCACACACACCCAGGUUCAGUGCGCCGCCUGCCCGCCCUGUCCCACAGUGAGGGUGAGGAGGAUGAGGAUGAAGAGGAGGAUGAGGGUAAGGGCUGGAGCUCAGAGAAGAUCAAGAAGGCCAAGGCCAAGUCCCAGAUCAAGAUGAAGAAGGCGUGGAAAAUUCUGGCAGAGAAGCGGGCAAUAGCACCUGUGGUGUCAGUGUGCCCUGUAUCCCACCACUCAGGCUCAGUAAAAUCACCAACAGCCUGACUAUCCAAAGGAAGAGCCAAUUCAUGCAGAGGUUGCACAGCUAUUGGAUACUGAAGCGGCAAUCACGGAAUGGGGUCCCACUGCUACGUCGCCUGCAGACACACCUGCAGUCUCAGUGGAACUGUGACCAAGUUGGGAGAGAUUCUGAGGAUAAGAAUUGGGCUCUCAAAGAACAGCUCAAGUCCUGGCAGCAGCUCCAGCAUGACCUGGACCGAACUCGGCUCCUGGUGGAAUUGAUCUGCAAGCGGGAGAAACUUAAAAGGGAAAUCAAGGUCCAGUAGAUUGCCAUGGAGAUGCAGCUGACCCCUUUCCUCAUCCUCCUUCACAAAACCUUACAGCAGCUCCAAGAGGACACAGGCAACAUCUUCAGCGAGCUGGUCCCUCUCUCUGAGGUACCUAACUACCUAGACCAUAUCAAAAAGCCCAUGGACCUUUUCACCAUGAAGCAGAGCUUGGGAGGCUUUGCUGAAGUUCACUACCUGAACUUUGAUGAUUCUGAAGAGGACUUCAACCUCAUCGUCAGCAACUGCCUCAAGUAUAAUGCCAAGGACACCAUCUUGUACCGAGCAGCAGUGCGGCUCCGUGAGCAGGGUGGUGCUGUGCUCCGCCAGGCCCAGAGCCAGGCAGAACAAAUGGGCAUUGACUUUGAGAUGGGCAUGCAUAUCCCCCACAGCCUGGCUGGAGAUGAGGCCCCGUGCCACACUGAAGAUGCUAAGAAAGAUAUUGCUGGAGAAUCAAAAGCACCUGCCCGCGGAAGAGCAGCUGAAGUUGCUGUUGGAAAGGCUGGAUGAGGUGAAUGCCAGCAAGCAGAGUGUGGGUUGCUCACGGCGUGCAAAGAUGAUCAAGAAAGAGAUGACGGCUCUGCGGCGGAAGCUUGCCCAUCAGCAGGAGACUGGAUGGGAUGGGCCUGAGAGGCAUGGCAACUCAAGCUGGGGCAGCCUGACACACCACCCAACACCCUGUGACAAGGAUGGGCAGGCAGACAGUGCUGCAAAGGAGAGCAGCAGCCAGGAGACAAGCAAGGAUUUACCAGCCAAUGGCUUCAGCAGUGGAAACCAGUCAGUGAAGAAGAGUUCCUUGGUAUACCAUAAUAACUGUAGCCUUCGCCAGAGCAGCUCAGACUCUGAGUCCAGCAGCAGUAGCAGCAGCAGCACUGCCUCAGACCAGACCUGCACAACACCCUCAAAACAAGACCAGGGCAAGCCCUCUUUCUCUCGGGGCACAUUCCCAGAGGACAGCAGUGAGGAUACCUCGGGCACUGAGAAUGAGGCCUACUCCGUGGGCACUGACCGUGGCAUGGGCCACAGCAUGGUAAGGAAGAGUCUGGGCCGGGGAGCUGGUUGGCUGCCAGAGGAUGAGGACUCCCCUCUGGAUGCUCUGGACCUUGUGCGGGCCAAAUGCUGAGGGUAGCCGUCAUACCCAGCUCUGAUCAUUGAUCCAAAGAUGCCCCGAGAAGGUAUGUUCCACCAUGGGGUGCCCAUUCCUGUGCCCCCAUUGGAGGUGUUGAAACUUGGGGAGCAGAUGACCCAAGAAGCCCGAAAGCAUCUCUACCUCGUCCUCUUCUUUGACAACAAACGAACCUGGCAAUGGCUGCCCACCCAGCUGGUUCCUCUGGGUGUGAACCAGGACCUAGACAAGGAGAAGAUGCUGGAGGGCUGCAAGUCAGUACAGAUUGCCUACCACCGAGCUCUGCAGCACUGCAGCAAGGUACAGGGUGAGCAGAGCAGUGAGACCAGCGAUAGUGAUUGAUACUGCCCAAUGUAGCCCAACCUGUAGUGCCCUGUGACCUCUCUCCUCCCCUUAGCUCACUGUCCUGGAGUGGCACCAGCCUCUGAACUGACUCAUUUCUGGUCUUGGGGCCAGUCUCAGGGGAAGCUGGGUGGGGGAGAUCCCUCCUGCCCUGAGUGCAGCUGGACUGUACACAACACUCCAAGGGCCCAUGGCGGUUUAGUGCAAAGGAAGAGGAGGUCCCACAGGUCAGAAAGAGUUCCAGCGACCUCAUGACAUUGUAGGGCAGAGUGGUGGCCCAAGGUUAGAACACUGCAUAGAACAGGCCAUCCCACCACC